AGCUGAACUACUUUGUGGGGGACAUAACAGAGGCGUGUAAUAUUUCGACCCCUAAUUUCCCUAAGCCCUUCCCUUCAGACACCUGGUGUUUGUGGUGGAUUCAAGCCAGCCUCUGCCAACAAGUGAAGGUGACUUUCCACACAUUUAACUUGAUGUACCGUAGCGAAGGUUCCUGCUAUUUCGACACUAUGGAAAUCAGAGACGAUGACCCUAUCAUGCCUGGAAGAGAGUACUGUGGCUGUGAGAUCGCAAAGGGGCAGGAAUUCAAGUCUCGGAACGGGAGCAUCUUCCUGUCCUUCCACGGGAAGUACCAGCAGCAGAGGGGCUUCAACGCCACAGUCGAGUUCAUAGAUGAUGCCGUUUGCAUCGAAAGAUUCAUGACCGGUGUGCAACAUUUAGUAUCGGCAGAUGAAAGAUAAAAAGUAAAUUUUAAAAGAAGGUGUGUACUCAAAAGAUAAAGGACUAAAAAAGGGGUGUACUACCUAGGCCCAUGUAUAACUAGGCCUAGAUUUAGCUAGACCAACAACUUAGGCCUAGGUUGUGAACUAGGCCUAGGGUCCUAGAUUGUGAACUAGGCCUAGAUGUAGCAAGAAUAUCUACCUAGACCUUUAUGAAAGGUAUGAGCCCUGUAACCUAUUUCAUUUAAGAUUAAAAUUUCAUUGUAAUAUAGCUUAUAAACAUUUUUAGAUAGUAAUUUAAGUGUAAAUAUGAUUUAUCGUUUUUACUGUUUUAACUGAAUUGCUUAAUUUGUUUUAAACAGCUGUCUUUAUAUUUACAUCACAGUCGGAAUAAAAUUUUUAUAAAAUC